rnacentral:rRNA from 1 species
UACGGAGGAUCCGAGCGUUAUCCGGAUUUAUUGGGUUUAAAGGGUGCGCAGGCGGGGGAUUAAGUCGGCGGUGAAAUUUUGCAGCUCAACUGUAAAAGUGCCUUCGAAACUGGUUUCCUUGAGUGUGGAUGAAGUAGGCGGAAUUUGUGGUGUAGCGGUGAAAUGCAUAGAUAUCACGAGGAACUCCGAUUGCGCAGGCAGCUUACUAAACCAUAACUGACGCUCAGGCACGAAGGCGUGGGGAUCAAACAGGAUUAGAUACCCCUGUAGU